rnacentral:rRNA from 1 species
AUGAGCAGAGCCUCUGUUUCUAAAUAUCCCGUCGAUACUCCAGACCGUUCCCUCCCCUUGCUCCCGUGCCGCUCGCUGAGCGGCACCGGGGCGCCCCCGAUCCCCAUUCCAGCUCCUCCCUCCCCUCCUCCUACCCUCCUCGCCGCGGCACGUGGUCGCGGAUCUGGGCUUUGGCACGCAGUAGUCUCCCCCAGAUGCUAUGGCGCCUCUGGCGGCGUGGCCGUGGCUCAUCAGCGUCUCCGGUCUGCUUCCCCUAGUGCGGCAACUCGGCUGUUUGAGGAGCUGCGGUGGUCUGCAGUUGCGGCGUCGCCGACGUGCUUCGGCCACCGGCGGUGCGCUCCAGUUGUGCUGCUCAGCGCCCUCCUGUUGGCUGGCUCGGGCCGGCCGUGGGGCUCCGAGGCGGCUUCCGACGAGCCUGGCUCUGUUGAGCUCCAGAUCUGGCGCCUGCAGACAAGUAGGGCCGAUGGGCUUUGGCGGGCCUCAUCCGUUCGUUGGCUUCUGGCGGCUGGGUUGCGGCGAGAGGCUAGAUGGUGA